rnacentral:rRNA from 1 species
GUCUAUGGCUGUACCACCCUGAACACGUCCAGUCUCGUCUGAUCUCAGAAGCUAAGCAGGGUCAGGCCUGGUUAGUACUUGGAUGUGAGAAGUAGAGAGACUGUGCUAUUUAUG